UUUUCCCAUAUAACAUCAAUAUUCUCAUACUUGCCACCUAAUAUUCAACAGUUUCAUCAACAGGCGUUAUUUCCUCCUUUCAAUCAACCCCAACCUCCUUUCAACCCUGCUGUUUCUAUACCUCAAGAUUUCUACUCUCCAGUCACUCAA